rnacentral:rRNA from 1 species
UACGUAGAUGGCAAGCGUUGUCCGGAUUUAUUGGGUGUAAAGGGUGCGUAGACGGGUGAACAAGUUAGUAGUGAAAUACCUCGGCUUAACUGAGGAACUGCUACUAAAACUAUACAUCUUGAGUACUGGAGGGGAAAGCGGAAUUCCUAGUGUAGCGGUGAAAUGCGUAGAUAUUAGGAAGAACACCGGUGGCGAAGGCGGCUUUCUGGACAGAAACUGACGUUGAGGCACGAAAGUGUGGGGAGCAAACA